AAGUCGUAACAAGGUUUCCGUAGGUGAACCUGCGGAAGGAUCAUUAAUGGAUUUUGACCGGUGGUCAAAUUACCUUGUGAUGUGUUGAAUGUUGUGUGUGUGUUGCCAUGUGAAAGUGGCGACCGCAUAUUUUUUCUAAUCCAUUUUUCAUUUCUGAUUUUUCAUGUGCGCAUUCUGUGUGCACACAAACAACCGAAAACUGCCAGCAACGGAUCACUCGGUUCUC
rnacentral:misc_RNA from 1 species